rnacentral:misc_RNA from 1 species
GACCUGCGGAAGGAUCAUUACCGAGUGAGGGCCCUCUGGGUCCAACCUCCCACCCGUGUUUAUUUUACCUUGUUGCUUCGGCGGGCCCGCCUUAACUGGCCGCCGGGGGGCUCACGCCCCCGGGCCCGCGCCCGCCGAAGACACCCUCGAACUCUGUCUGAAGAUUGAAGUCUGAGUGAAAAUAUAAAUUAUUUAAAACUUUCAACAACGGAUCUCUUGGUUCCGGCAUCGAUGAAGAACGCAGCGAAAUGCGAUACGUAAUGUGAAUUGCAAAUUCAGUGAAUCAUCGAGUCUUUGAACGCACAUUGCGCCCCCUGGUAUUCCGGGGGGCAUGCCUGUCCGAGCGUCAUUGCUGCCCUCAAGCCCGGCUUGUGUGUUGGGCCCCGUCCUCCGAUUUCCGGGGGACGGGCCCGAAAGGCAGCGGCGGCACCGCGUCCGGUCCUCGAGCGUAUGGGGCUUUGUCACCCGCUCUGUAGGCCCGGCCGGCGCUUGCCGAUCAACCCAAAUUUUUAUCCAGGUUGACCUCGGAUC